GUGACCCACUGGCACACUCACCUUCAGACAGAGGAAUAUCUGCUUGGAUGUUCUGGGUGUACAAGCAUCUGGCUGGCAUAAGUUUUCCCCUUUUGAAGACAUGGAAAAUAGCAGAUGCUCAUUUAAAUGAGGGUGGGAAGACCAAAUCUCCAGCGCAUCUCUCCACGGUACUGAGCCGCUCCGAACAAAAGCUCCAGUCUUGAAAGGUGAAAUAACCAUUCAGAGCCUCUCUGAGGAAACUGGUGAGCUGUGAAGCCCCGUCUGACGUACACAAUCAUCUGAUGGAGCCACGGCCCCGGAGUGGCCCAAAAUACCACAGUGGUGGGUGUGGAGGAUCUCCGCCGCAUUUUCCUGCAUCGGAGGGACGAAGGAGAAAGCCCACUUUAACAACUUCAGUUUACCUUUACUUAGGGAGGGAGGUGUCCUGGAAAACCCCAGACAGAACUUUUGGAAUCUUGCAGCCGCUGGCUUAAGAGCUGUGCUCAUCUUUUCUGUCUUCUUCUUCUUCUUCUUCUUCUUCUUCUUCUUCUUCUUCUUCUUCUUCUUCUUCUUCUUCUUCUUCUUCUUCUUCUUCUUUUGUUCUGUGUCUGAGGAAAGGUUUCACUUUGUAGCCUAGGCUGCCUCACUAUGUAGCCUAGGCUGUCUCACUAUGUAGCCUAGGCUGCCUUGAAU
ensembl:lncRNA